rnacentral:rRNA from 1 species
CCUACGGGAGGCAGCAGUGGGGAAUAUUGGACAAUGGGCGAAAGCCUGAUCCAGCAAUGCCGCGUGAGUGAUGAAGGCCUUCGGGUCGUAAAGCUCUUUUACCAGGGAUGAUAAUGACAGUACCUGGAGAAUAAGCUCCGGCUAACUCCGUGCCAGCAGCCGCGGUAAUACGGAGGGAGCUAGCGUUGUUCGGAAUUACUGGGCGUAAAGAGUACGUAGGCGGUUAUUCAAGUCAGAGGUGAAAGCCCGGGGCUCAACCCCGGAACUGCCUUUGAAACUAGAUAACUAGAGUCUUGGAGAGGUUAGUGGAAUUCCGAGUGUAGAGGUGAAAUUCGUAGAUAUUCGGAAGAACACCAGUGGCGAAGGCGACUAACUGGACAAGUACUGACGCUGAGGUACGAAAGCGUGGGGAGCAAACAGGAUUAGAUACCCUGGUAGUCCACGCCGUAAACGAUGAUAACUAGUUGUUCGGUCACUUGGUGACUGAGUGACGCAGCUAACGCAUUAAGUUAUCCGCCUGGGGAGUACGGUCGCAAGAUUAAAAACUUAAAGAAUAGUACGGACGUGAGACGUGCGAACGAGACACAGGGAGUAGG